UACGUAGGGUGCAAGCGUUAAUCGGAAUACUGGGCGUAAAGCGUGCGCAGGCGGUUAUGUAAGACAGGUGUGAAAUCCCCGGGCUUAACCUGGGAACUGCAUUUGUGACUGCAUAGCUAGAGUACGGUAGAGGGGGAUGGAAUUCCGCGUGUAGCAGUGAAAUGCGUAGAUAUGCGGAGGAACACCGAUGGCGAAGGCAAUCCCCCUGGACCUGUACUGACGCUCAUGCACGAAAAGCGUGGGGGAGCAAACAGG
rnacentral:rRNA from 1 species